rnacentral:tRNA from 1 species
GGGGUUGUAGUCCAACCUGGCAAGAUGACCGGCUCCAAACCGGUUGAUGGGAGUUCAAAUCUCUCCAACCCCACCA